rnacentral:rRNA from 1 species
UACGUAGGGCGCAAGCGCUAUCCGGAAUUAUUGGGCGUAAAGAGCUCGUAGGCGGCUUGUCGCGUCUGCCGUGAAAGUCCGGGGCUCAACUCCGGAUCUGCGGUGGGUACGGGCAGACUAGAGUGAUGUAGGGGAGACUGGAAUUCCUGGUGUAGCGGUGAAAUGCGCAGAUAUCAGGAGGAACACCGAUGGCGAAGGCAGGUCUCUGGGCAUUAACUGACGCUGAGGAGCGAAAGCAUGGGGAGCGAACAGG